CAGAAGGAUCAUUAUUGAAUAAACUUGAACAGGCUGUUGCUCAUCUGGUGCACGCUUGUCAUCUUUAUCUCUCCCACUGUGCACAUAUUGUAGACCUAGAGUUUUGAGAACUGCUGUGCUGUGCAAGGUCAGCUUUCUUGUUGUUUCUUCUGGGUCUAUGUAUCACAAUCUCUAUAACACGUUUGGAAUGUUGAAUUUGGAUAAAAAUAUACAACUUUCAGCAACGGAUCUCUUGGCUCUUGCAUCGAUGAAGAACGCAGCGAAAUGCGAUAAGUAAUGUGAAUWGCAGAAUWCAGUGAAUCAUCGAAUCUUUGAACGCAUCUUGCGCUUCUUGGUAUUCCGAGGAGCAUGCCUGUUUGAGUGUCAUAAAGUUCUCAACCACACCAGCUUGGGUGUUUGGUUUGGAUGUGGGGGUAUUUUUGCAGGCUUGAAGUAAAGUCAGCUCCCCUGAAAUGUAUCAGUGGUAUCUGUGCAGAGAUGUCCACAGGUGUGAUAAAUUAUCUAUGCCUUGGCUCUGCUGCUUGCACUGCUUUCUAAACAACUUCUGACAGAUUUGACCUCAAAUCAGGUAGGACUACCCGCUGAACUUAAGCAUAUCAAUAAGCGGAGGAA
rnacentral:sRNA from 1 species